rnacentral:rRNA from 1 species
UCUUUUCUUUUAUAUUAUAUUUUUUUUUAAAAAAUAAAACCAUGCAUUCUUGUGCAAAUCGUACAGCCGAAUAUAAGGUGAACCCGGGAAAGGUUCAUUAAAUCAGUUAUGGUUCCUUAGAUCGGUACCACAUAUUUACUUGGAUAACGUGUGGUAUUUCUAGAGCUAAUCCAUGCAACACAGAGUUCCGGCCGGGAGAGGGGAGGAGCGUUUUUUAUUAAAUCAAAACCAAUCGGCGUUGGUCCUUUCGCGCGGGUCGUCGUCGUCCACCUUGGUGAUUCUGAAUAACUUCAAGCUGUUCGCACGGUCACGCACCGGCGAGGCAUCUUUCAAAUUUCUGCCUUAUCAACUGUCGAUGGUAGGUUCUGCGCCUACCAUGGUUGUAACGGGUAACGGGGAAUCAGGGUUCGAUUCCGGAGAGGGAGCCUGAGAAACGGCUACCACAUCCAAGGAAGGCAGCAGGCGCGCAAAUUACCCACUCCCGGCACGGGGAGGUAGUGACGAAAAAUAACGAUACGGGACUCAUCCGAGGCCCCGUAAUCGGAAUGAGUACAAUCUAAACCCUUUAACGAGGAUCAAUUGGAGGGCAAGUCUGGUGCCAGCAGCCGCGGUAAUUCCAGCUCCAAUAGCGUAUAUUAAAGUUGUUGCGGUUAAAAAGCUCGUAGUCGAAUCUGUGUCCCGCGCCGCCGGUUCAUCGCUCGCGGUGUCUGACUGGCGUGCCGCGGGACGUCCUGCCGGUGGACGCGGCUCCGGAAGCGUUCGCGGUAUCACCGAGUUCGCGGAAGGGGCGGUCCAGCCUUAAAUCUCACCGCGGUGCUCUUCACUGAGUGUCGAGGUGGGCCGGCACGUUUACUUUGAACAAAUUAGAGUGCUUAAAGCAGGCCAAAAAUUCGCCUGAAUACUGUGUGCAUGGAAUAAUGGAAUAGGACCUCGGUUCUAUUUUGUUGGUUUUCGGAACCCCGAGGUAAUGAUUAAUAGGAGCGGAUGGGGGCAUUCUUAUUGCGACGUUAGAGGUGAAAUUUUUGGAUCGUCGCAAGACGGACAUAAGCGAAAGCAUUUGCCAAAAACGUUUUCAUUGAUCAAGAACGAAAGUUAGAGGUUCUAAGGCGAUCAGAUCCCGCCCUAGUUCUAACCAUAAACGAUGGCAGCUAAGCGAUCCGCCGGCAACGUCCUCCGAUAGACUCGGCGGGGUAUUUUCCGGGAAACCAAAGCCUUUGGGUUCCGGGGGAAGUAGUGGUUGGCCAAAGCUAAAAUU